rnacentral:rRNA from 1 species
UGGGGAAUAUUGGACAAUGGGCGGAAGCCUGAUCCAGCCAUGCCACGUGAGUGAAGAAGGCCUUAGGGUUGUAAAGCUCUUUCAGUCGUGACGAUGAUGACGGUAGCGACAGAAGAAGCCCCGGCUAACUCCGUGCCAGCAGCCGCGGUAAUACGGAGGGGGCAAGCGUUGUUCGGAUUUACUGGGCGUAAAGGGCGCGUAGGCGGGGUAUCCAGUUAGGGGUGAAAGCCCGGGGCUCAACCUCGGAACUGCCUUUAAAACUGAUACUCUAGAGUCCGGAAGAGGGUCGCGGAAUUCCCAGUGUAGAGGUGAAAUUCGUAGAUAUUGGGUGGAACACCAGUGGCGAAAGCGGCUCUCUGGCUCGAUUCUGACGCUGAGGCGCGAAAGCGUGGGGAGCAAACAGGAUUAGAUACCCCGGUAGUCC